UAAGCGGAGGAGAAGAAACUAACCAGGAUUUCCCUAGUAACGGCGAGCGAACCGGAAAGAGCCCAGCUUGAAAAUCGUGGUGCGUCGCACCUCGACUUGUAGUCUGGAGAAGGUCCCUCUGUGACGCGCCGGGCCCAAGUUCCCUGGAAAGGGACGUCAUCGAGGGUGACAACCCCGUCCGCGCCCGGAACGCGUCGCUCCACGAGGACCUGUCUGCGAGUCGGGCUGUUUGGGAAUGCAGCCCUAAUCGGGUGGUAAAUUCCAUCCAAGGCUAAAUAUGGGCAAGAGACCGAUAGCGAACAAGUACCGCGAGGGAAAGAUGAAAAGGACUUUGAAAAGAGAGUUAAAAAGUGCUUGAAAUUGCUGGGAGGGAAGCGAAUGGAAGCUGCGGGUGCGCCCCGGUUGGAUGUGGAACGGCUUCGGCUGGUCCGCCGCUCAACGCGGGGCGCUGGUCAGCGUGGGCCGCGGCGCCGGGACAAGAGCGGGGAUUCGCUUCCCGCCUAUGCCGGUGCGGUGGCCGAGGAACGAAGCAUGCGCCGCGCGCGGCGUGGGCGUUCGCGCCCAACUGCAUGCUCGGGACGCUGGCGUAUUGAGCUCUUCAUCCGACCCGUCUUGAAACACGGACCAAGGAGUCUAACAUGUGUGCGAGCCGGUGGGCGGCAAACCCAUUUGAGGCGCAAGUAAACUGACAGGUGGGACCCCGACCGCGAGGGAGGGAGCACCAUCGACCGACCGUGAUCUUCUGUGAAAGGUUUGAGUGUGAGCAUACCUGUUGGGACCCGAAAGAUGGUGAACUAUGCCUGAGCAGGGCGAAGCCAGAGGAAACUCUGGUGGAGGCUCGCAGCGAUACUGACGUGCAAAUCGUUCGUCAGACUUGGGUAUAGGGGCGAAAGACUAAUCGAACCAUCUAGUAGCUGGUUCCCUCCGAAGUUUCCCUCAGGAUAGCUGGAGCUCGUGUACGAGUUUUAUCAGGUAAAGCGAAUGAUUAGAGGCAUCGGGGGUGUAACACCCUCGACCUAUUCUCAAACUUUAAAUAGGUAAGCCGCCGGGGUUGCUUGGUUGAACCCCGGCACAGAAUGAGAGCUCCAAGUGGGCCAU
rnacentral:rRNA from 1 species